ensembl:snRNA U4 U4 spliceosomal RNA
AGCUUUGCACAGUGGCGGUAUCGUAGACCAUGAGGUUUAUCCAAGGCGCAAUUACUGAUAACUGAAAACUUUUUCCAAUACCCAACCAUGACGACUGGAAAUGUAGCCAGCAUUGGCAAUUUUUGGCAGUCUAUAGGGAUGGA